rfam:Gossypium arboreum cultivar AKA8401 contig_9819_1, whole genome shotgun sequence.
UUAGCGGCGCUUUUAAGCGCCACUAAAACUAUUUGUAGUAUUUUU